rnacentral:misc_RNA from 1 species
UCAGCCAAUCAACAAGAUUUACCUGAAAGUAUGACGAUUUUACAAUUAAUACAAUUUUAGAAUCUGCUUAUGGAGAAAUAAGCAAUGCCAGAGUGACUAUGAUCAAAUGCCUGGGACUUCAGCUAAUGAAGUUAUGGAGUCUUUCAUAAUUAUAUGAGCAGCCAGAUGGAACACAACUGCAAUCCUAACAGAGCCUAUAAAUAAAUUCAAAAAGACACUGAUUAGAAUGGAGAACGAAUAGCUAACUUGGAAACCUAGCGAACCACUAAAACAUUAAUAUCCUCAGAAAAUCAAAUUGUUCACAUUGUUGCCAAGAGCAUUUGGUGGGACGAGUAAUAUCAUAAACAACUAGGCACAUGCCAAACUAAAUGCAUCUCUAAAGGAAAAUUAGUUAUCAUUGCGGUAGAAGUGUAAUACAAACACAAUCCUCCUGUUGUCUCACUGGUGCUUAAUUGCACCAAUUGAAAAUGGGAACAGUAGAAUUUGUUGAAGUGCUCUGGUGAACAAAAUCAUGCAGAUUAAAAUAAGGAAAUGGAUUUUUUGAAACAUGAAAUGCACAUAUGUUGAAUUUAAAGGGUACAUUCCACUAACAGAUUACAAAUUAAAGGGGGAAAAAAAAAAGGGAGCAACUCUGUAGUUUCUGCAACAGGAAAAUUCAAAAGAAGUUGAUCAAUAUGAUUUAACAAAUUAUUCCAAGAAAGCACCAGAAAUUAUGAGCCAAUAGUCAAAACUUGAGAUCCAGUCAAAGGUUCAAAAAAUUAAGGCUGGGUUUACAGGGCAGAGAGCAUGAUAGUUCAUUAUGCAGUCGUGAUCAUUGCAAAGAAGAGAAGAUGGAAUAAAAAGAGUAAUAUCAAAUGAUCCAAGUCCGUAAGGUUGCAUGUUAGUUAUAACUAUUUUGUUUUUGACAUUGGACAUAAUUUAUUUCAAUCAAUUAAAGGUUUCAAAAAGCCUCAAAAUCAAUUAUCAAGUAUGAGAAUUAAAUUUAGGAAAAUGUACAGUUAGCUCCAAAAAGACAAGUCUUAACCUUCCUUUGGCUUGUCCAAGCACCAACUAAUGCUAUUAAGUUUCAAAUGCUUUUGUUUUAGAAUUGUUGAAGAUUAAACUAUGAGAUAUGAAAAUAAUUAUAAGGUCUUUCUUCUGGUAAUUUUAACCCAUCUACCAAGAAAAGCACAAGAGCUGCUCGGUCUACUUGUUAGCGAAUUCAAAACCCAUCUACUAACCUUAUGGAAGAGAAUGCAAUCAAGAAAAGCAAGUUAGUUAGGUUAUCUUGAACAAACUCCAGCCCCAAUAAUUUCUAGGAGAUCCAAAGUCCAAACCACUGUGAAUUAAAGUAGUUUAUUGAUAAUUGUUGAUGCUUACAAUUUAGUAAUUGCAUUUUUGGCAUUUUAACAAAUUUUAUUAAAAAAAAAAAAUCUUCUGUACCUCAUGGGCAGGACGACCAUA